UCAAAGUUACCUAUUUUUUGGGUUAAAUUUGCUCACUGGAAAGUUUAUACAUGGGCAACCCAAAAUUAGGUAGAAAUUUGAACAUGGCGAUUACCCAUAAUUUGAGUUGCUCGCUGUGAACUUCGUGUUGGGUAGGAAUUGAAUAAUGACGUCUACUCAAAUUCAAGUUCAUCGCUUUGUACUUAUAUUUUGGGUAGUCCAUUUCAAACAAAGUAGUAGGUAAUGUUUUUGACAGCCAUUGUUAUUGUUGUGAAUCAAAUUGCAUGAAGUGGCUCUGGAAAAGAAUGGUAAUUAUAAUGCAUAAUGCAAUAAUUUCAAUUAAAAUUAAUGAUUAAUUUAUUUCAGCCUAGAAACUUAGGAUAAAGCAAUUAGCGCUGGAUCUAAAACAUGAGUCGAUGAUGAUCGAGUUGCACUUUUUGUUGCCAACGAACGGAAAACAAAUAAAUAAUUGAAGAAAUUUUUCUCCUCAAAAUAUUUGAUUAUUUCUGCUGCCUCUGCACUCCUUGCUGUCGUUCGAUUCCGUUCACGUGGCUUCGACGUGCUGCCUCGAGGAUCGGCAACUCGUUGGUAGCGAGCCGCGUGGCUUGUUUCGAUAUUCCACCUGUUGCUAUGGGCCUUGGUUGCCUCUAGAUGACCUCGCAUCUGCGUGGUGACUUCAGGAAACUAUUCAGUCAUGUCAAACUGAGGCUUCCAAUAGUCAACACCGGUGAAACAACGUCAUCUCGGUUAUUGACUUCAGAUACAUCGAGCAAUACGGAACAUUUGAACAAGACUGUAGCUUACCCGAGCUCCGAGCCACUACAAUUCCAUUUGACUUCAGUCAUACCGGCUGGAAUAUAAUAUAGAAUUCUGGCUGUCUAAGAGACAAGUAUUUUAAUUGUGCAUUCAUUUUUAUUUGUUUUUUGUUGAUGAUUAAUUCAUUUCAAAUAUAUUUGUAGUUGGAACUGUGGCCACAUUUGCAAUUAUGGUGCCACUGACAUAUGAGCAAGCGUAUGGGGGAUAGACCACUAGUGAAUAAUUGUUCUUAAACCUGAGGGGUAACCACCCAUAUUGAUGGUGGUUUUAAGUGUUUUGUUACCAGCCACCAUCUUGGAUUUCAAAAUGGCGCCAAUCAUCAAUUUUCACUUUCUACUAAUUACUACCUUUCAAAUGACCCUCAUAUUGAUGGUGGUUUUCAGUGUUUUGUGGUAACCGGAAGGCGCCAUCUUGGAUUUCAAAAUGGCACCAAUCAUCGAUUUUUAUCUUCUACUAAUUACUACCUUUCAAAUGACACCCAUAUUGAUGGUGAUUUUUAGUGUUUUGUGGUAACCGGAAACCGCCAUCUUGGAUUUCAAAAUGGCACCAAUCAUCAAUCUUUGCCUCCUACUAAUUACUAACUUUCAAACGACACCCAUAUUGAUGACGGUUUUCAGAGUUUUAUGGUAACAGGAAGCCGCCAUCUUGUAUUUCAAAAUGGUGGCAAUCAUCAAUUUUCGCCUUCUAACAAUUACUACCU